CAAGAGGUAGCUUACCACACAAAGCAUUCCGCUUACAACCGAAAAACGCCCCAAAGGGCCCCCUUGA
rnacentral:tRNA from 1 species